rnacentral:SRP_RNA from 1 species
GCUGGGUAUGGUACUGUACACCUGUAGUCCCAGCUACUCGGGAGUCUGAGGUGGGAGGAUCACUUGAGCCCAGGAGGUUGAGGCUGCAGUGAGCUAUGAUCAUACCUGUGAAUGGCAAAUGCACUCUCUCCUGGGCAAUGUAGUGAGAUCUCAUCUCUU